CUGUGAAAUACGAGUCUCUCUGAGACGUUUGGUAGGCAGAGAAUCCUGUUCAGGGUGGCUCUUCGGUUCCCCUUUUGUCUUGAAUAGCUGUUGACAAAACACAUCAGGACAACUGAGCCUGUGUAAAACAUAUGGCAUGCAUCCCAAAAGGCACCCUAUUGGCUACGUAAGGCACAACUUUUGACAAGGGCCUAUAGAGCUGUGGUCAAAAGUAGUGCACUAUAUAGGGAAUAGGAUGCAAUUUGGAACACAUGCAUUGACUCUCUCUCCCAUGUGUAUUAGGAUUGUAUUACAGCGGCCUCACUCAACCUCCUAAAGACAAUGACAACAGCAUUGUUCUAAUGAAGAGACAAUAGGGGUUUAGUGAAUCUGUAGGGUACAUUUCAGCCCUGCCUUACAGAGGUAAUCUAAAGACACUGAGCCCUCUACCUUAAUCCUGAUCUUUGGAAUCUUGACAAUUUUGUGUAGGAAAUGCCACUUCCUGUUCUUCUUAGUCUCUUCCCCCCUGGCAGAGGGAAGGUGGGCCAUGCCGUCAGCCUUUACAUUAGCCGGGCUAAGGCCCCUGGCAGGGAAUUCCUCAGUAGCAUUAAGGUCAGCCACAACACCAUGAGUGAUGUCACUUGCGGCAUCGCUGGUGUCUAAGUAAGAAGAGCAAGCUGGUGUGACCGACCUCGGUACAAUAACUGGGAGAAGAGGACGCAACAAUGGAAAUCAGUCAGUGUCCCAAAAGGCAUUCUCUUCCCUUUAUAGUGCACAACUUUUGAACAGGGCCCAUAGGGUCUGGCUCUGGUCAAAAGUAGUGCACUAAAUAUGGAAGAAGGUGCCAUUUUGGACACAACCAGUGAAGUUUACAUCAUAAAACGCAAUGUAGUGAGCAUCAUGUUACAAUGAAGUCCUAUGCAGAUGAAGAGGUACUUUCACUUACCAUCCUCCAUUGCAGACUUGGACAGAUCAGUCAGGCUGUCCAUCACCAUGUCUGUCAUCAAGUUGAUGACCUGAUCCAAAACCCUGUCAGCGGUGGGUGGCAUAGGCCUACCCAAACACUGUCCCAGGAGUCUGCUAACAGAAGUCUGGGCAAAGCUGUAAACGAGCUCUGACGCAUCGUCCUUUGACAGCUUCCUCAGUGCUGGCUUUGGCAGCGCUGGUUGAGAGAGGCUUCUGUGGCCAGUCGUGGAUUGAAGCUGGCGGCUUAUGGUUAUCUCCUGAAUGAGACCAUGGACCUUUGCGAUCAGGUUGCCAGACGCAUCUUGAAGGGCUUCAAUUGACAGGAGCCUAUCCAGAUUUUCUUCUGCUGUAGUCAUCUCUGGGUCGUCUGUCUUCAAUGUAUCCAUUAUAGUUUUCACUAUGAUACUGGUGUCAGAUAUGUCUAUUUCUUGUUGAUUCACAAGCGCUGACUGUGAACCUGUCUUGUCCAUUGCGUUAGAAGUAUGGCAUUCUGUCCUUGUGAUCUCAUUGGCAGCACUCAUGUCAGGCAACAGGUCAAGGCUCUCUAGUAGAGAGUCUAACAUGUUAGUGGCUAUCAGACACUCCUCCCUUGCAUUCUGCCCAACAGAUGAACUCUCAGAGUUGGCCAAUCUGCACUUGAUCACAUUUAGGAUCAAGCUGAGCGUCUUCUUUGCAGUUUUGCUAAAGCCUUCUUGGCUGACUGCCACUGUUCCGUCUUGUAGAGCCACAAGAGGUUCACAACUUGCACUCAAUCCACUACCAUGGAGAGGAGAGGUUCUCUUCAAACUGGUGUCGCUCACAACUGACAUACUCCUGGGGGGCAGAGUGACAUCCUCACUGCAUGUGUCAAUUACAUGGUGGUCUGUGGAGGAGCCACUCGAAGACACAAGGGCUUUAGACCUUUUAGUCAAACUGACUUUUGAAAAUGGCUUCUCACUUCUCAGAGACGGAGGGCGGCUCCUGUCCUUAACAAGAGCAGUGUCAGGGGACUUUGAGCAUCUGAGUGUCUCCACAGGGGUGGAGUCCAGCACAUCUUUGGCUGUGGUGACUGACACGGGUGGAAAAGACAAAAAGACGUUCAGUCUAUCCUUUACUCUGUGGUACAUGGUUUGAGCAGCAUCCAAUAAGGUGUCAAAGACAACUCUGGGAUUGAGCUGGGACUGCAGCUUUUUCUCUCCUAGUGGGAAGGAGUCUGCGUCCUCCACUGUGUACUGGGAUAGAUUUUCAAGGUCUUGCAUGAUCAUAUUCACUAUAUCUUCAGUUGUAGAAACCACAUGGUGUGAGAAGGUGCUGCUAGGCAUGCUCUGUGGCAAAGAACAGUUGGCUUCGCUAGCAGCUCUGAGAAUGGCCUCACGCACAAUCUGUUUGGCCGUAGCUCGGAACUCAGCACUGUGAAAGCUCUGGAUGGAAAUGUUAGAGGUUCUGCUGGCUACACUACGAGAUCGCGUGAUCGUGGCAAUCUUGGCUGACGUCACGUCACUCGAAAUGGUGAGGCUCUCCAAUUUUGAAAUUAUAGAGUCCAACUUCUGGUUGAAGUCGAAGGAUGCAUUUGACAUGCUCUCGCAUUUGACUUCCUUUGAAGUCUCCACCCUCAGCACCGAGAUCACCUGUUUGAUGACCCCUUUAGUGCAGGUGUCGAGGGUGAGCUGGUGGGCUGAGGACAUUGAAGAGGUAUUACUGUCUGUCUUCUGUACAGGAGAUACCUCCACAGUGGUCUCAGUUACAAGUAGUCCAGUGUCAUAGAACUCAAUUUGCACAGGAGUAUUUUUUCCCUCAGUGAGAAGGUGAGAGGUGAAAAGCUUCCUCAGUUUAUCCAGGGUUUUGGUAUAAAUCUUCUGGGAACCUGAACUCACUUCCAUCCAGAACAUUUUGCGACCUGAUUUCGUACGCAUGGAGGUCUUAUUGACCUCAGAUACCUCAUGCAGGUCGGAAAUAAUUCCACCAAAUAGAUCAGAGGAUGCAUCCUCAAUAUUCUCCGCGGAAACGCAGACAGACAGAACUUCCGACAAUUUCCCACAAGUGUCGGUUUUAUCCAGCACGCCAGUAUAUGUCACAGCUGCAUCCUGAAUGACCUGAGUGAUGCAUUGCUCAGCUUUGACAAUAUACCCCUCCACUGGUUGACCAUGGAGGAUGUCAACUUUAUCAACAGGGAGCACAUUCUGAAUAUUCACAUUCUCCUCUGAUGGGCGUGGGCUGUUGAAGAUAAUGCUCUCAGUGACCAUGUUAGAGGAGGCGAGAGAUGAGUCGAGAAGCAGAGACCUGUAUAUUGUCGAGGUGGACAUCUCUGGGUGCUUAAUCAUAGCAGCCUCCUCCAAAAUGGCCGACGGGCCCUGGAGGAUGUCAGAAAUAUCCAUGUCUUCAAUGCUCUCUACCAGAGACGAUAGUAGGUCUCUGGUUCUCGAGCUCCAUUUUGAUUGCUUGACAGACAGUUGCUGCAGCAACAGCAGAGCUACAACACAACUGCUUCAAGGUGGAGUCAGAAAUAGAUGAUGACAGAUCUGUCAUGGACAUGGUGGAGAGUUGACUCUCAGAGACAAAGGGUCUGAGUUUGACAGACACCUGUCUGACCAAGUCCCCAGCAAGAGCUCUCAUAUCUAUUGCUCCACUAGCUGAGUUGUAGGAGCAGGCACUCUGUGGCCUUGACGGGCUCCUGCUAUCCAAAAAUCCUGUUAUCCCAAAAACCUCAAGUACAAGAUCCACAACAUCGGAUGACACUUCUGUCAUUCUGUUGUGGGACAGAAAUUGACUUGGAUGAAGGGUGCCUGCAUUCAGAGUCCAGUCGCAAACAGAGUUGUCGGACUGACUCUGGACUAGUGGAACUAGACAGGUUUCACUUGGACCUUGGCCAAAGAGUUCUGCCAUUUUGAGCAGAACUGAUCUUAAGACCUUUGACUUGGAAAUGUUCAGCAGUGGGUCGUUGUUGGACAGUCUGGUGGACGGUCUGCUAGCCGAUCUCUGAACAACUAGGCUUUGUAUUUCUGCUGAAAUGGCAGUAAGAAAAUAGGUCAAGGGGCUGGUCGCUCGUCCCUCGUUUCCUCCGUUGGCUUUAGCCUUAAAGAUGCUAUCUAUGAUGAUGACUAUAACCUUUCCAGCCAGAGGACCCAAUAUGGCCUCAAGCUCCCUCUCUAACUCAAGGGGAGACUUGUGGCCGUGCGCAAUAUGCUCUAUGGCAUGGGAAUACAUCUUAGCAGACACCAUGCUUAGCAUUUCUUGGGCAAACUGCUGACUUGCUGAGAUACUACCAGACAGCGGACCUAGAGUUCCCUGACUGAAACUUCGCAUUAGCUCAGCCAAUCUGGAAUUGAGAAGGUUCAUUACCAACUCUACAAUACCCAUCAUAAACCUGGUGUCCGUUGGUAUUUUGACAGGUCUGUAUUUCUCCCGUCUACUCCAACUGGACGACAGUACGAUCUCACUCUGCGACUGGCCUCUCUGGACCAUGUUGAAGACAGAAUCCUCAGAGAUUCCAAACACAGAACUCAGUGGUGCCGAGUGGGGUCUGUGUCUCAUCUCUCUAUCACCACCCUCAGGUGAGGAGACAUAUCGCUCUUCGUCAUCACUCAGCAAAGAGGUCAUGGAACUGCAGAAUGCACAACAGAAAUUAAUAGUACAUGAUAACAAAAUACAAAAUAUGAUCAAAGAAUUUGGAAGUACCUAAGUAGUAUUUCUCUCUAGGUGGAUCUGGAAUGGAUAUUUGUCCUUAUAACAAGGGACAUGGGAAUAAUGUUUUUAGAAAAACCUACAAGAAGAAGAGGGGAAAGGGGUAAGUACCUAUGAGAGGAUGGGAUAGGGGUAAGUACCUGUGAGAAGAGGGGAUAGGGGUAGG
ensembl:lncRNA